rnacentral:rRNA from 1 species
AACGCUGGCGGCAUGCCUAACACAUGCAAGUCGAACGGCAGCACAGCAGUAGCAAUACUGUGGGUGGCGAGUGGCGGACGGGUGAGGAAUACAUCGGAAUUUGCCCUGUCGUGGGGGAUAACGUAGGGAAACUUACGCUAAUACCGCAUACGACCUAACGGUGAAAGCGGGGGAUCGCAAGACCUCGCGCGGCUGGAGAAGCCGAUGUCAGAUUAGCUAGUUGGCGGGGUAAAGGCCCACCAAGGCGACGAUCUGUAGCUGGUCUGAGAGGAUGAUCAGCCACACUGGGACUGAGACACGGCCCAGACUCCUACGGGAGGCAGCAGUGGGGAAUAUUGGACAAUGGGCGCAAGCCUGAUCCAGCAAUGCCGCGUGUGUGAAGAAGGCCUUCGGGUUGUAAAGCACUUUUAUCAGGAGCGAAAUCUGCAGGGCUAAUACCCAUGCAGUCUGACGGUACCUGAGGAAUAAGCACCGGCUAACUUCGUGCCAGCAGCCGCGGUAAUACGAAGGGUGCAAGCGUUACUCGGAAUUACUGGGCGUAAAGCGUGAGUAGGUGGUUUCUUAAGUCUGCUGUGAAAGCCCCGGGCUCAACCUGGGAAUUGCAGUGGAUACUGGGAAGCUAGAGUGCGGUAGAGGGUAGUGGAAUUCCCGGUGUAGCGG